UUAAUGCAGAGAAGUCAAUAUCACUUAACAGUCCAGCAGAAAAUUUGCAUAAACCUAAAUACAAUUGUUUGAAGACUGUCAAUACUGGCAAAAUUCACAUAUUUACCUUGUGGAAACACAGAAGUUGUAUCACUUAGGAAUCCUUCAGUUAAAAUAACAGAAAACUGGACUCAAGCUCAGCCCUAAGCCAACAGAAGAACUUAGUGGGGUGAAUAACUGAAGACCAGGCUUUAGUGUUUCAAGUUUACAAGUGGAGAGAAGACCCCAAACGUACA